GCCCUAGUAACGGCGAGUGAAGCGGCAUCAGCUCAAAUUUGAAAUCUGGCUCUUUCAGGGUCCGAGUUGUAAUUUGCAGAGGGCGCUUUGGCGUUGGCAGCGGUCUAAGUUCCUUGGAACAGGACGUCACAGAGGGUGAGAAUCCCGUACGUGGUCGCUAACCUUCGCCGUGUAAAGCCCCUUCGACGAGUCGAGUUGUUUGGGAAUGCAGCUCUAAAUGGGAGGUAAAUUUCUUCUAAAGCUAAAUACUGGCCAGAGACCGAUAGCGCACAAGUAGAGUGAUCGAAAGAUGAAAAGCACUUUGGAAAGAGAGUCAAAUAGCACGUGAAAUUGUUGAAAGGGAAGCGCUUGCAGCCAGACUUGCCUGUAGUUGCUCAUCCGGGCUUUUGCCCGGUGCACUCUUCUGCGGGCAGGCCAGCAUCAGUCUAGGCGGUUGGAUAAAGGCCUCUGUCACGUACCUCCUUUCGGGGAGGCCUUAUAGGGGAGGCGACAUGCAACCAGCCUGGACUGAGGUCCGCGCAUCUGCUAGGAUGCUGGCGUAAUGGCUGUAAGCGGCCCGUCUUGAAACACGGACCAAGGAGUCUAACAUCUAUGCGAGUGUUUGGGUGUCAAGCCCGAACGCGUAAUGAAAGUGAACGGAGGUGGGAUCCCUUUUAGGGUGCACCAUCGACCGAUCCUGAUGUCUUCGGAUGGAUUUGAGUAAGAGCAUGGCUGUUGGGACCCGAAAGAUGGUGAACUAUGCUUGAAUAGGGUGAAGCCAGAGGAAACUCUGGUGGAGGCUCGCAGCGGUUCUGACGUGCAAAUCGAUCGUCAAAUUUGGGCAUAGGGGCGAAAGACUAAUCG
rnacentral:rRNA from 1 species